CCCUUAGAUGUUCUGGGCUGCACGCGCGCUACACUGAUGCGUUCAACGAGCCUUCCUUGCUCGAGAGAGCUGGGUAAUCUUCAUGAAAACGCAUCGUGAUGGGGAUAGGCGCUUGUAAUUAUUCGCCUUGAACGAGGAAUUCCUAGUAAGCGCGAGUCAUCAGCUCGCGCUGAUUACGUCCCUGCCCUUUGUACACACCGCCCGUCGCACCUACCGAUUGAAUGGUCCGGUGAAAUCUCGGGACGGCGGCUUGGUCGCUUGCGUCCGACUGCUGAAACUUGAUUAAACCAUAUCAUUUAGAGGAAGGUGAAGUCGUANCA
rnacentral:rRNA from 1 species